CUGGGUGGUGGCAUCCCUCUUGGUUCUACAAAUACUUCAGAAUAUUGCUCAAUGAUUACCUGUACCUCAGUAGGAAGAGUGUCCCUUUCCUCUUCAUUCAUUGCUUGAAUUUUGGCUACAAUUCCAUAAGGUUGCCUGCGAAGCCAUUGGUUUUCCCAUUCCAUCAUUAGGCAUUCCUCAUCUGCGUUCUCACUGUUCAGUUCUACUUGUGCUCCUUUGUAUGCAAACAUGAUACUGCCCUGCUUGAAGUCAAAUAUGACUAGGUUGAAUUGGCUCAACCAGUCUACUCCCAACACCAUGUCACUUCCACCUAACCUUAACUCCCUCAACUGGAAUUGACAUUCCAUUCCCUACAUAGUCCGACUAAGUGGGUUGCAUAUUGCAGUGCUACUCAACUCAUCUCCACUGGCCACAGUCACGAUUACAGGUUAGGUAGGCUCUAACAUGCAUUUCUACU
rnacentral:lncRNA from 1 species